rnacentral:misc_RNA from 1 species
CCGAGUUUACAACUCCCAAACCCCUGUGAACAUACCUAUAUGUCGCCUCGGCGGAUCAGCCCGCCGCCCCGUUAAAAACGGGACGGCCCGCCGCAGGAUCCACAAACUCUGUUUUUAAUUGUAAACUUCUGAGUAACAAAACAAAAUAAAAUCAA